rnacentral:rRNA from 1 species
AUGAGGGCGGGGUCGCGGCGCUGUCAGGAGAGAGGGGACUCGAGGUCGAGGAGAUCAGGGAAGGAUGGCCAGCACCAUGGGCACUUCUUCCUAUUUGGCUGGUCAGGCCAGCAGCGACGGCCGGGAACCAGGUCAGGCAGCCAACGGGAGCAGCCGAGCACGGUGGCAGGAGAGUGGAGGAACCGGGGGAAGGAGUCGCCGCCGCCGAGAUCUAUGUCGAGAACAAUCUCUCUCCUCUGUCUCCCUCACCCAGCUCAGUUCCGCCUGAUUCCUGCUGCUGCUCGCUGCAAGCCUUGGCUACCCAUGUUAGGCGAUCUGGAGGCGAUAGCCUCGCCGUCGCCACCGCCGGCCGCCGCGCCCGCUGUGUGCGGCCUCCCUUCCACGUCGAAGCCCAGGCUGGCCGUCGGAACAGCAGCGGCGAUGUCCGCAGACCGAUCGCUUGGCCCCUCGGUGCCUAGCGUUCCAGCCACCUCUUCGCUAGGGUUUCUCGCCCUUGGCGAUCUGGAGGUGACCGCCCCGCAGCCACCACCGCCGGCCAUCCCGCCGGCUGUGUGUGGCCUUUCCUCCGCGUCUCAGUCUAGGCUGGGCGUCGAAACAGCCGCGGCUGAGUCCUACGAGGGGUGGAGUCCUGCUGAAUCACGGCACGAGGAGGAUCAUGGACGCCCUAACCCCAGCCGCAAGGAAAGGAAUUCUUCUUCUUCCUACAAAAACUCAUCUAGGGCUACGGAGCGACUACACAAGGAACCACGCAAGCCGCCUGAUCGCAAACCCCACGCGUCUACGCCGCCGCAGUCUGCUGGGAUGUCGUCGUCGUCGUCUGCACACGAGGCCGGCAAGGAGUCGCUGGUGGCCGAGGUGAACCCGGAGGUCGGUGGGGGCGCACAUAGGGCUCCCUCCGUGGAUGCUGCUCGCCCGAAGCCUUCCGACGGUCGAUCCACGGCUGCUGGGCACCUCAAUCCGUGGCUGCAAACACUGGCGUUUGGGAACCAGAUAAAGACGGCGGGUGCGGCGGAGGAGUAUGUUGCUGAUCAUGCAACGGGCAACCCAGCUGUUGAUAAGUUGUUGGCUGAACUAAGGAAGUCCAAGUCAGGUUGCAACAAGGGUAUGGUUGAGGAACAACAUGCAGCUACAGCAGCCAACAUAUAUGCACGUACACCCAAAAAAAGAAGAACGGAGGGCGGACAAGACAUACAUGAUGUGGAUGGAGGGGCGUCCAUGAGCCAGGAGACGCAGAUGGAGGCGGGCACUAUGGAGGCAACCGACCCAGGGGCUGUCGAUAUUAAUGAAAGAUAUAUUGAUGCAUAUGUGACUGCGUCGGCGGGUGAGCCACCCUGGAGGCUGACCUGCGUCUACGACGAGCCACGGACGGAGGACCGUCAACACAUGUGGUCCCUCCUCCGUGAUCUUCACCAGCAAGCUGACAUGCCUUGGGUCGUGGCUGGUGACUUUAACGAGGCCAUGUGGAGCUUCGAGCAUUUCUCCGAAACGCCACGCUCGGCAGGUCAGAUGAUUUAUUUUCGUGAUGUUCUUGAGGUUUGUGGUUUGGGUGAUCUCGGUUUUGCAGGCCUGCCUUACACUUAUGAUAACCGUCGUGCGGGUCGGGCAAAUGUUAAAGUUCGACUUGAUCGUGCCGUGGCUAACAACACUUGGCGUGACAUGUUCUCUGAGGCCAAGGUGCGGCACCUUGCGGCGCCGAGUUCAGACCACUUUGCCAUCCUGCUACGAUGCGUUCUGGAGGAGCCCGUGCAGCAGUCUGGCAGGCGCUGCCGGCAAUAUGAGGUGAUGUGGGAGAGGGAUCCGUCCCUCCCUGAGCCGACUGGGCGCCCGAUCACGCAGCAAGGAACAUGCAGGCUUCGACGAGUGGCAGAGCUCCUGGAUGCGUCUGGUGCUUGGCGGCUAGACCUCCUACAACGCCACUUCCUACCGGCGGAUGUGCAUACCAUCACCAACAUCCGCACGUCGACCCGCAUCACCGACGACAUGAUCGCCUGGAGCCCAGAGAAGAAUGGUAUCUUUACCGUUCGCUCCGCCUACCGCCUUGCCAUGGACGAGCGCGAACGUUCAUCGGCGACGGCCACGAGCAGGGCACCGGAUGGUCAUCGCGCCAUCUGUAAGAUCAUAUGGGGGUGCCCUGCUCCCCCUAAGGUACGCGUGUUUGCUUGGAGAGUUGUGUCCAACUCGCUUGCUACUUGGGCCAACAAAUUUUCUCGCCAUCUCGAGCUUACUGACAUAUGCCCCCUAUGUGGUAUGGAACGUGAGGACGGGCUCCAUGCGUACUGCAGGUGCCCAUUGGCUCGCGAACUGUGGCAUAUGCCAUGGCCUUGGAUUGGCCAAUCCCGGAGAACUUGGUAUGUGCGGAAUGAGAUCACACAUGAUAAGGCGCCGCCCCCGACAGAAGCAUCUCGCCGUUUCCUCCAUGGGUACAUCACCUCUCUGCUUUGUAUCCAUCAACACCCUCAUGGCGACUUGGAGAAAGGGAAAAUGGUGGUGCAUGAUAGCCUCCCGGUUAUACACACAAAGGAAAUGCCCAAGCCGGAGUUGCACUGGACCCCUCCUCCACCGGGGUGGGCUAAGCUCAAUACAGAUGGCAGCCAUGUUCCUCCAACCGGAGAGGCAGGGGGUGGUAUGAUUCUUCGUGAUGAUAGAGGCAACAUCAUCUAUACUGCUUGUAGACAGCUCCUUACAUGCGAUAAUGGCCUUGAGGCAGAGCUGGCUGCGUGCAGAGAGGGCCUGGAGCUUGCGCUUUACCGUACAAACCUGCCCAUUAUGGUUGAGCUCGACUGUGCAGAAGCGGUGUCUAUGCUGCUAGCACGUACUGGAGAUAGAUCGCAAUACCGUGUGCUCAUUGAGGAGAUUCGAAGACUAGCACAAGAUGCUCGUAGGGAGAUUUCUUUUACUUUUAUUAGUCGCUCGCAGAAUAAGGUGAGCGUGCUCAAAAUCCCCCUCGACCCCGGCUGCAUCGGCGACUCCGCGACCCCACCGCCGGCCUCCGCCCUCUUCGCACCGGCGACCUCCCCUCCUCUCCCUUCCCUUCCCUUCCCUUCCCCCAUAUCGAGAAGGGAGGCCAUGGUGCUCCCGACACGGUUGGAUCCAGACCAAGCCCGUGGGGUUCCAGCUCGACCUCCUCGCAGCGACCACGGCGGCGGGAUCCGCGGAUCCAUGGCCACGGCGGUGCGAGCGCGCAGACGCAGCCUUGAGAAGGGAGGAGGCAGGGCGGCCAUGGCGUUCCCGCCGCAGCCGGGUCACUGGCUCCACCUCCACCACGAGCUCCUCGCAGUUGGACUUGAUUCAUGUUGGUUGCUGAAUUCAUUGUUGAUUGUUGAUUGUCGAGAGAAAAUCCAGGGCGCCACCGCCGCCGAUCUACGCGGCGGCCGAUCUACUUCUCCGGCCAUCUGCCGCCGCCGGCCGGAUUCCUCCUGCUCAUGUGCCUCUGAUUUGGAUCGAAGUCACGGCGGUAGUGGUGCGGUGGCAGCGGGGGAGGAGGCGAGGGUGGCGGCGAUGGGGGUGAGGCCUGAAGAUGAGGUUGUCCUUUUGGAGACCGGCGUGUGUUCCGGCAACGGGUGGAGGGGCAGCCGCGCGGUGGUGGGGAGCAGCUGGUCCGUGUCCAUGGCCGGACUACCGGGGUUGGGGGUUUCUUCCCGUAUUGUUGAUGAAUAUACUUGGGGAUUCGUGAUUCUUGUGUCCCUUGACUCGGUGCGAGAUUCAUUGGGAUUUGGGCCGAGGAAGAUGGGGGUGCGAUUCGGGGGGAUCAUGCCUCGGAUUCUUGGGGUCGCCGGGGAUGCGGUGAUUGAAGGAGAAGACGGUGGAGGGAGAGAGGGAGGGAGGAAGAGGGGAGGCUUCGGAUUUCAAAAAGAGACUUGGCUCGUUUGGAACUUGUCAAAUCUUGGUCUGAAGGGAAUGUUAUCUCCUGACAUUGGGCAGCUUACUAAUAUGCGUUUUCUUGUACUGCACAGGAACUUGUUCUAUGGUAUUAUCCCUAGAGAGAUGGGAGAUUUACGAGAGCUGAAGGUGUUGGAUCUGGGGUACAAUAACUUCAAUGGAUCAAUUCCAUCAGAGCUAAUAAACAUGUUAUCCCUGGAAUUUAUGUUCGCCACGGCAGGACUUUCUCAAAUAGGAUGCCCGCUGCAAGGUUGUGGAAAAACGGAUGUAGCAUUCCUUCUACAAGUUGUGAUGAGCUGGGACACAGAAGAAGAGAGCCGACAAGAAGUUGCACAGCGGUUCGCUCUGGUGUCGCUGCCAAUGGCGUUGCGCAAACAUUCCCCGCUGUUUCUUACAAUCAGAGAAAAACGAAAGGAGAUUUCACUCUACAAUGGAUGUCUUUCUCCCAGGAUCCAAGUCUACGUCCACCAGGUACGGUGCCGUGAGCAAACACCCAAGAGGAGGUUUGAGAAAGAGCUCGCGGGGUUAAUACGCCGACGUGGUCGACCGACGGACGACGUGGACGCUCCGACAAGGUCGAGCGAGUGGCUAAGCUUAGCCGUGCAGAACGUUUCGAAGGCCAUGGACGGCAAAGGCAAUAAUAAGUGGCAAUACAAAUGGACGUGUGUUGAAAUAGAGGGGAAAAUUGAUAAAAGAAAUACUACAAAUAGAAAAAAUCAAAGAGAAGAAGGAAAGAGGGGAACAAACUUGAAACAAAAGGCUCAGAAGAAACAAUCAAACUCCCGUACGAAGGAGUGGGCUUUCCCGAACGAAACAGCCGGCCCACUUGGGACUCGUAGUGGGCGGCAGAUCAUCCAAUCGGCGCUGAAGGCGCCGAUUAGGAGCCCCCCCCACCCCGAGUCAGCUAUGUAUUUUUGCUUCGUAGGAGGAACGGAAAGCAAUUUGAGUGUCGGGCCGAGACAUUACUUGAGACGAAAGGAGAGACAACUGGACCGCCCCACUGAGGCCCAUAUAGCGAUAAUGGGUGUACAUUACACCCAUGUCCUCGUCCAGCCCCGCCCAUGGAGGCGGUUUGCUUCCGCUUCCUCAGUCUACAUGGCCGUUGGUUGGUUCUAG